rnacentral:rRNA from 1 species
GGGCGAUGGCCUGAACCGCCAAGUAGCGUGAAGGAUGACUGCCCUAUGGGUUGUAAACUUCUUUUAUAAAGGAAUAAAGUCGGGUAUGCAUACCCGUUUGCAUGUACUUUAUGAAUAAGGAUCGGCUAACUCCGUGCCAGCAGCCGCGGUAAUACGGAGGAUCCGAGCGUUAUCCGGAUUUAUUGGGUUUAAAGGGAGCGUAGAUGGAUGUUUAAGUCAGUUGUGAAAGUUUGCGGCUCAACCGUAAAAUUGCAGUUGAUACUGGAUGUCUUGAGUGCAGUUGAGGCAGGCGGAAUUCGUGGUGUAGCGGUGAAAUGCUUAGAUAUCACGAAGAACUCC